rnacentral:rRNA from 1 species
CCCUUAGAGUUUGAUCCUGGCUCAGAUUGAACGCUGGCGGCAGGCCUAACACAUGCAAGUCGAGCGGUAGAGAGAAGCUUGCUUCUCUUGAGAGCGGCGGACGGGUGAGUAAUGCCUAGGAAUCUGCCUGGUAGUGGGGGAUAACGUUCGGAAACGGACGCUAAUACCGCAUACGUCCUACGGGAGAAAGCAGGGGACCUUCGGGCCUUGCGCUAUCAGAUGAGCCUAGGUCGGAUUAGCUAGUUGGUGAGGUAAUGGCUCACCAAGGCGACGAUCCGUAACUGGUCUGAGAGGAUGAUCAGUCACACUGGAACUGAGACACGGUCCAGACUCCUACGGGAGGCAGCAGUGGGGAAUAUUGGACAAUGGGCGAAAGCCUGAUCCAGCCAUGCCGCGUGUGUGAAGAAGGUCUUCGGAUUGUAAGGCACUUUAAGUUGGGAGGAAGGGUUGUAGAUUAAUACUCUGCAAUUUUGACGUUACCGACAGAAAAGCACCGGCUAUAGUUUU